CAGGUUUGAUCCUGGCUCAGGACGAACGCUGGCGGCGUGCCUAACACAUGCAAGUCGAGCGGAGACAGUGAGUAGCUUGCUAUGAGCUGUUUUAGCGGCGGACGGGUGAGUAACGCGUGAGCAACCUUUCCCAGACAGGGGAAUAACACACCGAAAGGUGUACUAAUACCGCAUAAGACCACGGGAUCACAUGGUUCUGGGGUAAAAGAUUUAUCGGUUUGGGGUGGGCUCGCGUCCGAUUAGGUAGUUGGUGAGGUAACGGCCC
rnacentral:rRNA from 1 species